rnacentral:pre_miRNA from 1 species
UUAAUACUCCCUCCGUCCAGAAAUACUUGUCUAAGGAAUGGAUGUAUCUAGAUGUAUUUUAUUUCUAAAUACAUCCAUUUCUAUUCAUUUUUUCGACAAGUAAUUCAGGACGGAGGUAGUACCUC